rnacentral:rRNA from 1 species
AACGCGGAGUUGCUAGUAAACGCAGGUCAGCACACUGCGUUGAAUACGUUCCCGGGCCUUGUACACACCGCCCGUCACGUCAUGGAAGUUGGUAACACUUGAAGUCGUUGCGCUAACCCUUUGGGAGGCAGACGCCGAGAGUGGGACUGAUGACUGGGACGAAGUCGUAACAAGGUAGCUGUACCGGAAGGUGCGGCUGGAUCACCUCCUUUCUAAGGA